UGUAAAAUUACUCUUAAACCUGCAGCACAUAUAUUAAUUUAAUUAAAUUUAAAUCAUGAUGUAAGUGUGAUUUCCAUUUUAUUUCAAUUAAUGGUGCAUACAAAAUGAUCUGAGCUGCUUUUCACAUUGAUUUCAUAUCUGUAUGUUACUCUCUAUACUAACUCUAUACUAAUAUCUUACUGUAUGACACCUAUUGAUCGAUCUGGGUCUAUUUGUAUUACUUUAUUGGAGGAAACAUCUUGAAACCUUAAUGAAACACAAAUGAAACCUCCAUUAAGUGAAACGUCUGAACGAUAGCAUCCUCCACUAUGUGUUUUUGCUUCUAAAUCAUGAUAAUUGCAAUCACAACAGCCACCAUAAACGACUUCUAAGGCUCAGUAAUACUGGGGUUUAUAUUCACUCUCUGAGCAAACGUACUAAUUACGCUCGUCCGUCUAUUAGCGGGUCGCAGUUCGCUCUCCCUCCCUCUCAUUGGUGUUUACAGUGAAGGAUUUGCAUACGAGGGGCCUCCGUCUCACUUUCCAUAUGGCAGCGAGAGCGGCCCCGUCUCAAGCGCGCUGACAGCUCAAAAAUGCCUCUCUGAAUGGAUUGUUUCUCCGUCCAGAGAUUUGCAUGCUUGUUCACGAGCGAUUAGCUGUGUUCUCCUCCCCCUACAGCCAAAUCAAGGAUAUGCAAAUGCAAUUAGACAGAGAUUGUGAGCAGCUAACGGUGGCACAGAUGGCAAACGGAGAAAGGUGCCGCCAUCUUUUGGAGGGAAACGGCCAGUCGGCAGAAAGGAGUCGCCAUCUUCUCAUCUUUUUGGAGGAACACAUUUGUUUUCUCAUCUUUUUGGAGGGAAACAGCCAGGCGGCAGAAAGGGGCCACAAUUUUGUCAUUUUUUGGAGGGAAACGGCAGAAGUGGCUACCGUUUUGUCAUCAGUUUGGAGGAAAAUGUCAUUGUCGGUGUGACAUGACCCUGGCUGUUCUGUGUCUGGCUGGCCGUGGGAAAAAGAAGCCCACUCUUUUCACAGCUGCACUGCACCAAUGGAGGCCCCGG
ensembl:lncRNA